AGUGUAGAGGGAGCGGGUCCUCACCUCUCCACAGGCGCCUUCACGGCCAGAGCCUCCUCUCUGCAUGGGGAGUAAGGCCUGGCCCUUCCCCUGAACACGGUGACAUGGAUCUCGCCAAAGGUGGAGAUAACACCAUUCCUCCCCCACCAACCUCACGCUUCUUUUGCUUUACAGGAAGAUUGACGCAGGCUGGUGUCCAGUGAAGAAAUGCGUGGUGCGUAGGAAGGAGAGGUGGAUCUCAGGGCUGUGCGUGAUCUGCAAAGGAAGCGCAUCGACCACCAGGUGGCGCUGCUGCGCUGCUUCUGCUCCCUGGAGGUGGAUGCCCAGGACGAGCUUUGAGGUGGAGAGAGGGAUGUCAUGGCUCAUCCUCCAGUUUCCAAGUAAAAACCUUCCGGCCAAUCUUGGCCGCGCGUCCUGGUGUAGCGAGCGGGCUUGGAGGAGCUCACCGCUGCUGUCAUGGUUCGUUUGCUAAACUGCAUCGUCGCUGUGUCUCAGAACAUGGGCAUCGGCAAGAACGGGGACCUGCCCUGACCGCCGCUCAGGAAUGAAUUUAGGUAUUUCCAGAGAAUGACACAAUCUCUUCAGUAGAAGGUAAACAGAAUCUGGUGAUUUUGUGUAGGAAGACCUGGUUCUCCAUUCCUGGGAAGAAUCGACCUUCAAAGGAUAGAAUUAAUUUAGUUCUCAGCAGAGAACUCAAGGAACCUCCACAACGAGCUCAUUUUCUUGCCAGAAGUCUGGUUGAGAUCUUAAAACUUACUUAACAACCAGAAUUAGCAAAUAGAGUAGACAUGAUUUGGAUAGUUGGUGGCAGUUCUGUUUAUAAGGAAGCCAUGAGUCGCCCAGGCCAUCUUAAACUAUUUGUGACAAAGAUCAUGCAGGACUUUGAAAGUGACACGUUUUUUCCAGAAAUUGAUUUGGAGAAAUAUAAAAUUCUGCCAGAAUAUCCAGGCGUUCUCUCGGAUGUAUUAAGUACAAAUUUCAAGUAUAUGAGAAGAAUGAUUAAUAUGAAGGUGUUUUCUGGUUUAUUUUAAGUUGUUCCCCCUCCCUCUGAAAAAAAGUUUAUAUUUUUACAUUAGAAAAAAAGACUUUUGUUGACUUUAGAUCUUUGGAUAAUUAUUUCUAAGCAACAUGUUUUUACUCCCCACUAAUCUUGACUAUAUCAGAUACCACUUAUGAAAUAUUCUUGCUAUAAUUAAGUGCCUCUCCAAGACCCUGACUGAGUCCCCAGCACCUGCUACAGUGAGCUGCCAUUCCACACCCAUCGCAUAUGGGACUCUUGCCAGUCCUUGACAUUGUCGGGCUUUUCAAAUGUUGGUAGUAUUUCUUAAAGAUGAAGAUGCACAUACCCUCCAACUGAGAAGUUUCACUAGUGGGAAAUACCGAAAGCUCCUUACGUGUAUACCCAGAGGUUUGCACGCAAAUGUUGCAGCCUUGUUUGUAACAGUGAAAAAUUGAAAACAACCUGGAAGUCCAGUGAUGGGAAAAUGAAUAUAUUUCUGUCUUUUGGGGAACCCAAAGCAGGUUCCAAGACUGCAAUUUCAGUGAAAGCAGUUUAUUUUCUAGGUCUUACCAGAAAUCAUCAAUUGAGGUACGGAGAAAUGGAACUGAGAAGAGACGAGGUUCUCACAAUGUUGUUCAAGCUGGUCUCCAACUCCUGAUCUCAAGCAAUCCUCUUGCCUUAGCGUCCUGAAUUGCUGGGAUUACAGGGGUGAGCUGUCAUGCCCAGCUUGUAAUGUACUGACACCUUCAAGAUUUCCUUCUCCAAGUGUGGACACAGCAGCAGACGCCCCUUGUCUCUUGGGUCAGGACACUGGGUAGAGUGGAAGAGCAAGACAACAAAGUCACUGCAGAAAGCAUACAUGUGGAAGAGGUCCAGCAGGGAGGGCCAGCUGUCCCAGGGACACCAUAUUUAGGGAUAACUCCUCUUUCUGGGCAGGACUGUUCUUUGAUUACUUUUAUAUUCACGAUAGUUCUGAAAUCGUAGGAUGAUGAUACUCAAGACUGGCUAGGAUUUGUUUUCAAAAAACCAUCUCCGAGACUUGUCGAUCUUUUGAAUGGUUUUUAGUGUCACAAUUUCCUUCAGAACUUAACUCAUUCUUAACAUUUCACAGACUACUUUCAGUUAAUAAUGUACUAGUGCCCAUAAAUAUAGAAAUAUUGCAACCAUUUAUCCUCUAUAAAAUGUCCAUCUUUUAUGGUAUAGAUAUUAUAUGUAAUAUAUCUAUAUAGGUUGUAAGUCCCACGAUAAAAAACUUUUUCUUAUCUUUAAACAGUUCUAUGUAUAUAAAGUAAGAAUAAAUGAGGAGAGCAAGAUAGCCUUUUGCACUUAGCUCAAUAUUUACCAUUUUUGAUCAUCUUCAUCUUUUUUGAUAAUCUCAUUUUCCACCUGGUAUCAUUUGCCUCUAGUCUGAAGAAUUUUCUUUACCAAUUGUAAUUGUACAGAUCUGCUGGUGACAAAUUCUUUUAAUUUUCUUUUACCUGAAAUAUCUCAUUUGCCUAUCCUUGAAGGACAUCUAUGCUGGAUAUAGAAUUCUUAGUUGAUCUUUUUGUCUUCCAGCACUUUAAAGAUGUUAUUCUACUUUCUUUUGUUUCUAUGGUUUCUAAUAAAAAGUCAUUGAUCAGGACAAGAGGAACAGAGAAACAAAAACCGGGAAAAUAACAUGGUAGACGUGAAACUUAUCAUAUCAAUAAUGACAAAAACCUAUAUGAAUCAACACUCCAAUGAAGGGCAGAGAUUGUGUGACUUGGUUUAAAAAAACACGGAACCCAACCAUACGCUCUUUCCAGACAUGCACUUUCUUUGUUUUUUUUUUUAAUUUAACUUUUAUUUUUAGUUAAGGGGUACAUGUGCAGGUUUGUUAUAUAGGUAAACUUGUGUCAUGGGGUUUUGUUUCACAAAUUAUUUCUAUGCCCAUUAGUACCCACCCAAGUAUUAAGUCUUAGUUCCCAUUAGCUAUUUUUCCUGAUCCUCUCCCUCCUCCCACCCUCCACCCUCAAGUGGACCCCAGUGUGUGUUGUUCCCCUCUGCAUGUCCAUGUGUUCUCAUCAUUUAGCUCCCACUUAUAAGUGAGAACAUGUGGUAUAUAGUUUUCUGUUCCUGCAUUAGUUUGCUAAGAAUAAUGGCCUCCAGCUCCAUCCAUGUUCCUGCAAAGGACGUAAUCUCAUUCUUUUUUAUGGCUGUAUAGUAUUCUAUGGUGUAUAUGUGCCACAUUUUCUUUAUCCAGUCUACCAUUGAUGGGCAUUUAGGUUGAUUCCAAGUCUUUGCUAUGGUGAAUAGUGCUUCAAUGAACAUAUGUGUACAUGUAAGUCACUCACUUUCUCUUUUUAUUUAAUUUAUUUUAUUUUGCUUUAAGUUCCAGAUACAUGUGCAGAACGUGCAGGUUUGUUACAUACGUAUAGUCUGCCAUAGUGGUUUGCUGCACCUAUUCACCCAUCCUCUAAGUUCCCUCCUCUUACCCCCGACUCCCCAAAAGGCCCUGGUGUGUGUUGUUCCCCUCCCUGUGUCCAUGUGUUCUCAUUGUUCACCUCCCACUUAAGAGUGAGGACACGUGGUGUUAGGUUUUCUGUUCCCAUGUUAGUUUGCUGACGAUGACUUCCAGCUUCAUCCAUGUCCCUGCAAAGGACAUGAACUCAUUCCUUUUUAUGGCCGUGUAGUAUUCCAUGGUGUAUAUCUACCACAUUUUCUUUACCCAGACUAUCAUUGAUGGGCAUGUGGGUUGGUUCCAUGUCUUUGCUAUUGAAAAUAGUGCUGCAAUAAACAUA
ensembl:lncRNA novel transcript